GUGUCUGUAUCAAAUAGAACUGGAUUUUGUUCGUCCUCUUUUGUAAACAUUCUGGGAGAGAGAGAGAGAGGAGGAAGCAGGAGACUUUGACUCAAUCCAAACCCGAAAAGGCACCAUCUUUUAAGAUAUAUGAGUUUGUUUGGGCUGUGGUGGAAUGGAAGUGUGGUAGGGUUUCUUCUAUUGGUGCCAGGAAUUCUGGGUUGGGGCAAAGAAGGCCACCAUGCAGUUUGCAAGAUAGCAGAGAGCUACAAGAUGGAAUGGCCAGUAAAAUUUGAUGUGGUUGAGGAAAGAGUGGUUUAAUAUGAUGAGUAUUAAAAUUUGGCAGUAGAAGUUACAAUACCAUAAAGUUGGAGCAAAAUGUGUUUGAAAGGUCAAUGGAUGAAGUAAACGAGGUUUGUGCCUAUAUUGUUACUGUGAAGAUGGUGGUGAGGUGGGUUUGAAGUGGGUUUGGAAUCUUCAAUGAUGAUGGAGUUCUGAUGAGACACCUUUGUUCUGAGUGAAGAUGCUUUAGCUGCAGUGAGAGAAUUGCUACAGGAAUUUGUUGGAGGUGAUCUUGCUGCAGUUUGCUCGUGGACUGAUCAGAUUUGCUUUCAUUAUCAUUGGAGCAGUGCUUUACACUAUGUUGACACACCCAAUUUUCUGUGUAACUACAAUUACAGCAGAGACUGCCAUGACUCUGCUGGACAUAAAGGGAGAUGUGUAACUGGAGCAAUAUACAGCUAUACGAUGCAACUUUCGACUUAUCAGGAGUCCAGCUGAAAAUAAAAAUCUUCUACAUGUUGGUUUCACCGGAGAUCUAGGGUCAAACACGAUAAUAGUCCGUUGGUAUCUGCAGAAAAACAAAUCUUCACCAUGUGUGGAAUAAUAUGAUCAUUGAAUCUGCUGUAAUCUACAGUAAGGAUCUUGAACUCAUGAUAGAAGCCAUUCAAAGGAAUAUUACGGAUGCUUGGUUCAAUAAUAUGUCAUCAUUGCAGAUUUGUGCUGAUAAUCGGACAACUGUAUGUCCAAAUGAAUGGUUACUUUCUUUCUCGGCUGCCUGUCGUGGAGAAGCGGCUAGCUCGAGUGGGGUCUGCUUGGCUGCUACCCUCAACGGUAUCUUCUCUUGUGAACCAAAAAUUGCUGAAGCAUGAAGAUAAAGAAAGGAUAGGGAUGGUGAUGCAUCUUUAGAAGAACAUAAUUGGGCCCCCAUUUUUGCUGAUAAGCUAUUAAGCUUGAAGCCCUUGAAGUUCCUCAUACGCGAGUCCUCUGCUUAAUGUAUAGUUUGCUUAAUGUUACAUACUCUUACAGUCCCAACCCAUAGUACAGACCUCCUUCCGUGUUACAUACUCCUUUUAAAUUGGGAUAGCAUAGCUUGUUGCUGUUGUUGAUGCAUCGAGAAUGGAGAAACCAUACUUGACUGCGCAUAAUCCAUUAUUAAAAUUGGUUGGGAAGACAAAAUCAAUAAAGAAACAGUAGUUGCUUGAAUGACAAAGGAAUAUACAAGGCAUACUAGCCAAUGUAAUGUCGGCGAAUGUCACGAAGUCACUUCCUCGAGUGGCAAAUUAACAAUAAUAAGUUCCUGCUGUUUAUCC